AAUCCGCCUAGAGCAGAGGCUCCUUUUCAACCAGCCUGCGGGCGGCUGAACAAGAUGGCGAACAUCCGGCGCCGUGUUUUUUAUUCUACUGCGGCGUCGCGCACGUUUUUCUCGCGGUCACUGCGUCGCCACGUGGUCGCGACGAAUUUGAAUAAUCGCGUAUCAUCGGCUCGCUUUUUACCGCAGUAAUUCGCGACUCGCCGAGUCUUCGAUGACGGAAUCGACUAGUUUCGGCUCCUCGAAUCGUUUGAAAUACUUUUGGCGGCUCGUCCGGCUCUCACACGAGUAAUUCAGCUCGAAACUUGAACUUUAACCAACUCCGAACAUCGGCGAGCGCCCUUACUUACAUAACGACGUUGUUUAUUCGUCUCGUCGAUAUCUUUUCGAACUACGCAGUUCGUCUGAAUAUUAUACUCUCCCGCAGAACGUUAAUCGCGGAGAGAGAACGUUUACUUAUCGCGUCGGUUCUAAAACUGCGCGGCCUGCUAAGUGCCACUAAGUACUAAUGUUUACCUACAGAGUAAUAAACAAACCGGAUCGUGGCGAAACUACAUUCCUGCAUAGAGCCGCUAAAAGAUACAAGUGAACUCGGCGCACGUGUGCACGCGUGUUUACAGGCGUUUCGGCAUCUACUGCUCACCCAUAUCGACGCAGCUGAAAGUGUACAUCAAAUUUUACACGUGCACUAAUCCGGCGUUCAUAGGAUAGGAAUGGCGAGAUUGGAUUCGAAAACGUUUCCAGCUCUCACAGAAGAUGUAAUAGCGAAACUACAGUCUAGAAACAUUUUCACCGUUUACGAUUUCAUGAUUCUGCAAACGUGCGACGACUUAAUGAGAAGAACUGGCAUGAGUUUUAAGGAAAUCGAAAGCAUCAGGGAAUCGAUUUUCAAAAGUUUUGGCGGCGAGAUCAUAGGCAAUCCGGCCGAUCUGGGCGAGCGCGAAAUUCAAGACGUCAUUCCGACUGGGACGAACAACUUGGAUGCGCUGCUGAAAGGAGGUCUGCACUGUCACAAAAUAUAUGAAUUCUGCGGGUUCUCGUCGUCGGGAAAGUCACAGCUGUGCCACUGGAUCUCCAUGUGCGCCACUUUGAACGCCUCAACGGAAGUGCACUACGUAGACGCCAGCAAGAAUUUCUGCGCCUCUAGAAUUCAAAUGAUGCUCGAGGCGAAGCAGUGCACCGACACUAUAUUGGGCGAAGUCAUGAGCGGCAUAAGAGUCUACCAGAUCCACAAGAUCCACGAAUUGUUUACGGUCUUGCAUUGCCUGUCGAACUUGCCGAAGAGCGAUUCGUCGAAGAAGCUCGUGAUCGUCGACUCGUUAUCGGCGCUGUGCGCAAUCGUUCCCAACACUGGCCUGACUCCUAUUCUCAGCAAUUUGGCCUCGGUGUGCAGAUUUCUCGUCAACAACUCGCGCGUCGCGGUCGUGAUCGUGAACACGGUGAGGCUCCAGAAGGGCGGCGACAAUUUCUUUGCCGAGAGCGACAUAACUGCGAAUGCGAAAUUGAAACCGUCUCUGGGCAAUUAUUGGCUGGGUGUGCCGAACGUUAGGUUGUUGAUAACGCAGUUGGAGAACAAGAGGAGAGAGAUAUCCGUGUGGAGUAGUGACCCAUUGGAGGAUGGAAAGAAGUGCUUUGUGACUAUCAAAGACGAGGGGAUACUUUCGAGUUGAUAUUUUACCUAUCGUUGUUUCAUACGUGUUAUAAUGGUUUAAACGGAAUAAGUAAUGCUAAUGCGAAACGUGUAGUAGAUACUCAUUUCCCGUUGAAACGUUAGAAGCACGCACUGGCGAAGCAUACAUUUCCACUAUUAUCAGUGCCGGGCGAUACCGGGCACAAAAACCUACUUCCAUUGUUCCUUAUUCGCCUAAAAGCGAUUCGCACGCAAUCCUCAGAGAGCCAUCGUCUCGCGUUCCCCGCAAAGUCGCGCACUUUUCCACUCGAGCCCUAGAGGAAAUUUCAAAUCAGCUGAUGGUGCGCAGCAGCUAUAGCAGUACUUACUUUGAAAUUCGACGCAAAAGCGACGUUGCCACGUCGGCGUAGGCGAGCCGCUGUAUAUAUAUAUAUAUAUAUAUAUAUACAUCGAUACAUAAUCAGACUCCAGCGGCGGCGCGCGCUACAAAUAUUAAAUAUCCCGUGUCUCGCAUACCCCCACUCCCCGCUGUGUGUGUGUGUCAUUUCGGAGCAGCAGGGCAGUGGGAAGGGGUUAGUCUAUAGCUACAGGCUACAGCCUAGCAGCUAACAGCACGGCGGUGUGCGUCUAUUGCGCGCGUAUACGCACUCCACCGCCGCAAGGCGCACAAGUACGGCGGCGGUACACGCUCUCGGGGGAUCCCGAUCACAAUUGAAUUUGCCAUCAGCAUUAGUCGAAUUAGGGCUACUGGUCAUCCUAUUGACAGACAUGGCUUCCUUGGUGGCAGACUACGGGACUUCCUCGGGCUCCGAGAGCGAGAGGGACGAGCUGUCCGACUCCGAAUCGAUGAAGCGGAAGAGGAGAAGAACAUCGAGAAUGAAGAUGAGGAGAACCAGAAAGACAUUGCUUCCAAUAAUAAGCUUCCAUUACCCACGCCUGACUUCAACGGUGCACCCACCAUGAAAACCUCUGUCUUCAAAAAUCCCUUUGUCGAAGCUGAAAAAGCUAAGAGUGCUAUUCUUGAAAAGCAUGUCAAGAUGACUCCCACUUUGGAUGACACCAAGAUGAUCAAUGGCAGAAAAAUAUGCUGGAACUAUCGCAAGGGGAGAUGCCGGUUUGGCCACAACUGUACCUUUGCCCAUGAUUCGGACUUGCAUCGAUCUGCAGCGGAAUUAGAAGCUAUGAGGGCACCACAGGAAACUAUUAUCUGCCAAACUCAAUAUAAUGGCCAAGUGAGAAUCAACGAUGACGAUGAGGUAGACCAAGAGAACAACCAGACGCAAAAGCGUAAAAAAAGACCAGGCUUGAGUCAAACUUUGGUACCUGGCAAAAAAGUUUUGAAAAUGUACAAAGCACAACAAGCCAAGGCAGUUAGUAGAUAAAUUUUAAAAUAUUUAUGGAAUACCUUAAAAUAUUUAUUGCAUUGCAACGGGGUGUGAAGCUAUUUUCAUAGACAUGGACAUCUUUUCACUUUGAAAUAGAACGUUUACUCUGCAAAAACAGUGUGUUUUUAGGAAAAAUAAAGAAAAAAGUUACUCAGAACUUUUACAACAAAAAGAAUCGCGGAUAAAAGAUUUUUAAUCUCACUUUCCUAUUGGUAGUUAGGGCUUCCACAUUGAUCAAUUACAAUUUUCUAACGUCUUCUAUUGUAGUAUCUAUUCUGCACUGUUCAGAUUCUCGUAAAAAUUUGUCAUAAGACAAACAAUCAUAUUUCAAAGUAGCAUGAAGUGUCCUUGUUUCAGAUGUCAAUACAAAUUGUCAAUAGCAAUGUGCUCUUUGCUAUGAGUACUAAUAAUAUAGUUAGUUAAAAUCAGUUUCCAAUGUUAUAGGCGAUUUACCAAAAAUGCUUUAUAUAGUUACAAGUCAGUUCUACAUUCUUGGCCAUUUCAUAAAUUUGUGAGCAAGUCACAAGCAAUUCACAAAAUUAAUAUGAAAGUUGAAAUUUUUGAAACACCUCCUUUUUACAAAGUAUAGUCAUAAAUAAUCUACGAAUUAUACUAAUGAACACCAAACUAAUAAGCAUAUUUAUAUACGUGUUUCUGAAAUACUUCAUUAAGAAAAAAGGUUCAGUCCUAAAAUAAUCUCUAAAUACCGUAAUUGAUACGAAGUAAAUAACUAUUUAGACUGAAAAACAGAGUAGAACUGUCUUUUGAAACAUACAAAUAAAUCAUAAAAUGUUGCAUCAUACUUAACCUUCCUGUGACGGAGAGUGGUUUAUAUAUGUAGUUAAAGCUUGGGUCCAACUAUCCUUUUUAUUCCGUUUUCAUACAUAACUAUUUCAAGCUAUUUUAAAGUACCAUCUAUGAUAGUAAUUAUGUAAUUAGAUAUGAAAAUUAUUGAGAGAUUAAAUCAAUAAGUUAAAAUGUAAGUAUGUUACUUUCUUGAAAAAAUAUGAAAAGUUCUCUUGUUACAAGUCUUGCCCUGUUAAUCAUCUAGCUUCCGUCAUUGUAGGGUUGAACUUUAGUUAGAAAGUAUCUAAUAUGCUAAUGUAAUGUUGAGAUCUCUUAUAAUAUAACACUCAUAAAAUCCACAAGUUAUACUUCCAUAUAUAUGUAUUAUUAACUAUGUAGAUGUAAAAAUUGUUAAAGGACGGAGAAAGAAAGUAAAUUACAAUUUACAAUUUUGUUUUACUAGAGAAAAGCCUCAGCUGUUAGUUUACGUUUUGUAUCAUGAUUUGUAUCAUAUCUAUUCUACUCAUUUAAACAAUCUUCCUUGAGUUACAGUAAUUGUACCAUUCUUGUACUCACUAUUUAUCAUAUUACAACGAUAAAUAUUAAUAAUUUAAAAUCUGUGCUGUACAAAAACAAAUCGUAGUAGAACUUUACUAACUUUAUUUUUAUGUUUAAAUGUUGCGAAACUAUAAAAUAGGCGCGAUUACUAGUCGUUAAAAAUUAUAUGACUGUCUUUCAUUACAUAGUUUACUAAACAUUUUGUAAAAAAACAUAAAGAAAGUUUGAUAGAUUUGAUUUCUUUGAGCGAUUGACUGAUUAAAAUCAAACUUGUAAAGACCUAUAUUUCCAUAAAUAACUCAUUCUAUAGUUAUCUAAUCGUUACACAUGAACGCUAUUCUCGUAAAAUUGUUAUUUGUAAAAAAUAAAAAUUGGCGUUGAAUUCAGUGAGAGUUUUUACUCCCAGUUUUUAGUAAGAAAUAAGUAAAAACGGGAAAAAAUCCAUUUACAAUAUGUCAUUGUUAUAAUUCGUGCACCUAACUCGUUUUGAAUUUUUACUAAAGAAUAAAAUCUAUGUCAGUCUA